ACGGGUGAGGAAUACAUCGGAAUCUACUUUUUCGUGGGGGAUAACGUAGGGAAACUUACGCUAAUACCGCAUACGACCUACGGGUGAAAGCAGGGGAUCUUCGGACCUUGCGCGAUUGAAUGAGCCGAUGUCGGAUUAGCUAGUUGGCGGGGUAAAGGCCCACCAAGGCGACGAUCCGUAGCUGGUCUGAGAGGAUGAUCAGCCACACUGGAACUGAGACACGGUCCAGACUCCUACGGGAGGCAGCAGUGGGGAAUAUUGGACAAUGGGCGCAAGCCUGAUCCAGCCAUACCGCGUGGGUGAAGAAGGCCUUCGGGUUGUAAAGCCCUUUUGUUGGGAAAGAAAUCCAGCUGGUUAAUACCCGGUUGGGAUGACGGUACCCAAAGAAUAAGCACCGGCUAACUUCGUGCCAGCAGCCGCGGUAAUACGAAGGGUGCAAGCGUUACUCGGAAUUACUGGGCGUAAAGCGUGCGUAGGUGGUCGUUUAAGUCCGUUGUGAAAGCCCUGGGCUCAACCUGGGAACUGCAGUGGAUACUGGACGACUAGAAUGUGGUAGAGGGUAGCGGAAUUCCUGGUGUAG
rnacentral:rRNA from 1 species